AAGCAAAGAUGUUUAUUUGACUGACUUUGGAUUAUUGAAAAGCAUUACCUUGAGAAGUGACAAUGAUUUUUCAGUAAUCAUCAUUUGGGUAAUAUCUUGAAGCAAUGGAAAUUUGAGCUAUAUUCUUUGAAGAUUUAUCUAACCUGUGGUGAUGGAACACCAAGCCUAAGAAAACACUGCCAAGAGUGGAUGACACCUAUAUCACAAGAGUACUGAAAGGCAAAUUCUAAAACCCAUACAAGAAAGCAUAACACAUACCACAUU
rnacentral:lncRNA from 1 species